rnacentral:rRNA from 1 species
CCUACGGGAGGCAGCAGUGGGGAAUAUUGCACAAUGGGCGCAAGCCUGAUGCAGCCAUGCCGCGUGUAUGAAGAAGGCCUUCGGGUUGUAAAGUACUUUCAGCGAGGAGGAAGGUGUUGUGGUUAAUAACCGCAGCAAUUGACGUUACUCGCAGAAGAAGCACCGGCUAACUCCGUGCCAGCAGCCGCGGUAAUACGGAGGGUGCAAGCGUUAAUCGGAAUUACUGGGCGUAAAGCGCACGCAGGCGGUCUGUCAAGUCGGAUGUGAAAUCCCCGGGCUCAACCUGGGAACUGCAUCCGAAACUGGCAGGCUAGAGUCUUGUAGAGGGGGGUAGAAUUCCAGGUGUAGCGGUGAAAUGCGUAGAGAUCUGGAGGAAUACCGGUGGCGAAGGCGGCCCCCUGGACAAAGACUGACGCUCAGGUGC